AAGCACUAGUAGAAAAUAAUAAAUGCGCAUCGAGUUAAACGCACCGGUUUAUGAAAAACGGUGAGAAAAAAUAAAUGGCACCGGUUAACCAGCGCCCCUUUACCUUUUGUUUAAAUUAAUUCUCAAAAAUAUAUUGGUAAAACAAAGUCUCCGGUUAAUCGGUGCCCUAUAUGUUAUUUUUAUUUUUAUUUUUGUCCUUUAUUUACCCCCUUUUCUCUCUCCUCAAACCACUUUCUCUGUAGCCUCCUCUUUCCCACAAAGAUCUCUCUUUAACUACCCCCCUCUCUCUCUUAUUCUUGCCUUCACCGUCCACUCCUCCACCAGACCACCACUGAGUCGUUGACCCCUCCACCCUGGCCCUUGCACCGCCAACCCUUCAUCUCUUGUUCUUUCACUUUCUCUCCUCGCCGCAACAGUGAGGAGUGGUUGCCUCCGUAAUAAGAAUCAACGGUUGCUUAAUCUAAUGGCGGCCAGGAUUGAUGGUGAUAGACGGUCUUGGUCGAAUGAUUAUACUAUUAAUGAUGAUCAAAGCUCCAUUGAUUGAAGAAGGGCAGCCACAAAAGGAGGGGAUCUAUAAUUUCAUCUUCGUACCUCGUGGCAAUUUAUUUCACCGGCGCUAGAUCUUAUCCAAGCGGCCGGAUGCCGACACUCCUCCUCGGCUGCAUUGAGGAUGCUCUAUGGCCUACAAUGGAUGUUGCAUUUCUAUUCUGUGCUGCUGCUUCGGAGCUGCUGCUGUUUAGCAAUUGUGAUGCUGUUGUUCUGCUACUGGGCUGCUGCUGCUCUGCUAGUGAUUGUAGGAAGUUGUUGCUGCUCUUAUUAUAGUGAAUAUAUUCAAUAUUUUUUUUCUUUUUUUUUCAAGUGUAAAAUUACAGGUUAUCAUUGAAAUUAUCAGUUUUAAGUAUAUUAUUUAUAUAUGUAACAAUUUGCUGACAAUUUCAGGUUAAAAAAGCAAAAUAAAAAAUUGGCAUUAAAGGCACUGGUUAACCGGUGCCAAAGUAGUGAGUUUUUUUUUUUUUUUUUUAUUUAAUAAAAGUGGGUACCUAUUAUUAGCACCGGUUAACCGGUGCUAAUAACAAGUAAUGCCACCGGUUCUAAACUGAUGCGAAUAUUUGUGGGUAUUCGCAUCCCUCAAAUCUAGACCGGCUUAAAACCGGUGAGAAAGGCUGGUUUUGAACCGGUGCUCAUUUCUUGUUUUCUACUAGUGAAGCCAUAUAAUUCACAAGCAAUCAAACUAUCAUAUUCAUUGGUUUUGUUGACAAACUGCUAUAAAUAAGUAGGAAAACCGUUGACCUUUGAAGGUUUUGAUGAUGAAGAUGAUUAAGAAACAACUUUAACUAAUAAAGUUUCUCUAAUGUUUUUAGGACUUGCAGGUGGAGUAAGCUUAGAGAGUUGAAGAAGAACUUGAAGCUAAGGGAAUACAAGAGAGCAAAGGAAAUCAUACUAGAAUAAAAGAAGAGUUCAUAGAGGACCUAGAUCAGUUAUCCCUAACAACAUUAUAUGAGCUUCCUAGCAAAAACUGGACAACAAGCUGAUCAUACUAGCUUGGACCGCGUUGAAGACAGCAAGUUCCAGAGGAGCUUGGGAUAUGAGUUCUAGCAUAAUGUUGAACUAGAAGUUACAGCAGGAUUUUAGUCCUGUUCUGCAAAGAACUCAAAUUCUAAAAUACAAUACAAAGUUCAAUUCGAA